rnacentral:rRNA from 1 species
GAUGAACGCUAGCGGCAGGCUUAACACAUGCAAGUCGAGGGGCAGCAUAAUGGAUAGCAAUAUCUAUGGUGGCGACCGGCGCACGGGUGCGUAACGCGUAUGCAACCUACCUUUAACGGGGGGAUAACACUGAGAAAUUGGUACUAAUACCCCAUAAUAUCAUAGAAGGCAUCUUUUAUGGUUGAAAAUUCCGAUGGUUAGAGAUGGGCAUGCGUUGUAUUAGCUAGUUGGUGGGGUAACGGCUCACCAAGGCGACGAUACAUAGGGGGACUGAGAGGUUAACCCCCCACACUGGUACUGAGACACGGACCAGACUCCUACGGGAGGCAGCAGUGAGGAAGAUUGGUCAAUGGACGCAAGUCUGAACCAGCCAUGCCGCGUGCAGGAUGACGGCUCUAUGAGUUGUAAACUGCUUUUGUACGAGGGUAAACGCAGAUACGUGUAUCUGUCUGAAAGUAGCGUACGAAUAAGGAUCGGCUAACUCCGUG